rnacentral:lncRNA from 1 species
AUGUUUUAUCUUUUCUUGCAAAUAAAAGGCUAUCUGGGCAGCCAUGACUCAAUUGCAGUCAGUGACUCUCCAAAUUACACAUCCAGACAGAGCUCUACCUCCUCUGAGUCUGAUGAUGAAGAGGGUAGUUGCUGUGGGAACAUGUCUGUUAAAAGUCAGCUCUCAUUAAGGAAAUGGGAAGCAGCUACAAAAUUAAAAACCACUAAAAGUCUUAAAAAUAGUGACUCUGAUGUUUGUUCUAAGGUAGGAGGCAGUGGUGGUUUCUUCUGCCCAGUCUCCUCCCAUUUCCAAAGAAGAAGAAGAAAAUUUUCAGAAGACCAAUUUGUCCCAUCACAGGCUCCUCUGCAAGAUUUGCAGAGAAGGUGUAAUCCCAAGAAGAAACCACAGACCUCAACAAAUAAAACACGGGACACGGGAAGUCAGACUGCAGUCACCAUGACCAACGCAUCAACCCAAUGCCCUUUUCCGGAUGAAAUAAGCAUAAGCAAACACCAGCAACAUCGCAAGUCACCCUGGCAGGCAGUGUAUCUUCCAAAUCCUACCACCUGGGGGCAGUGUAGCCCUGAGAAUAAUCCUUCAGGCCAGAUUCCUCAUUCAAACACACCCUGGAGUGCAUCUCGGGGUGUUAAAGGACAGAGGUGUCGACCAACACCACCAUUUCAUGGUGGGAGCAGGUGCUUGAACCAAUCACACCUGAACAAGUCACAGACAGAAAUUCUGGAUAACCACCAAAAUAACCCUAUUCAAGAAGCGGACAUGGAGGAGCAACCUUCCAAGCAAUUCACAGAGGAGAAAGAAAAUGGUGAAGUGCGGGAGAUGAAGGAAAUAUGUCAGCCACAUGAAAAGGCGGAGCCCAUGAAAGAGCCAGUGAUAGUUAUGGAUGAACUGGUGCACGGAGGUGGGAAGCAUGUCUCGGAGGAGGCCGAAACUCUUCAAGAAAUAGCCGACAUUCUGUUAAUGCUAAAGAAGAAAAAAUCAUUCUCAAGGAAAAAAUAGUGAAUUCAAAUUGCAGUGAUUAAAUGACAGUUCCACCAUUGCAAUACGUUAUUUUUAUUAUUAUUUUCUUCAGGUACAUUUUCAAGUGUUAAAAUUUCACAGAUAUAUUUAAUUUUAUGCAAUAUAUAAAUUCUAGCAAAACAUUUACAGCAACAAUACUCAAUUUACUUUACAGCACUGGUAAGUACCUGUGGCCUUGACUAGUUUUUCAUGAAUGGCAUAAACACAGUGUUGUAAAUGUAUAUUUAUAUAUAAAAAUGUAUUAUUUUUUCUGCAAACAGAGGAUGUUUCCUGUUCAUGAAAAAAAUAAAAAUCAAAACAGACUGAAUGAAUGAUUGCCA